rnacentral:rRNA from 1 species
AUUGAACGCUGGCGGCAUGCCUUACACAUGCAAGUCGAACGGUAGCGGGCCUUCGGGUGCCGACGAGUGGCGAACGGGUGAGUAAUGUAUCGGAACGUACCUUUCAGUGGGGGAUAACGUAGCGAAAGUUACGCUAAUACCGCAUAUUCUGUGCGCAGGAAAGCAGGGGACCUUCGGGCCUUGCGCUGAUUGAGCGGCCGACAUCAGAUUAGCUAGUUGGUGAGGUAAAGGCUCACCAAGGCAACGAUCUGUAGCGGGUCUGAGAGGAUGAUCCGCCACACUGGAACUGAGACACGGUCCAGAGUCCGACGGGAGGCAGCAGUGGGGGAUUUUGGACAAUGGGGGCAACCCUGAUCCAGCCAUGCCGCGUGAGUGAAGAAGGCCUUCGGGUUGUAAAGCUCUUUCGGCCGGGAAGAAAUCGUAUCAGCUAAUACCUGGUGCGGAUGACGGUACCGGCAUAAGAAGCACCGGCUAACUACGUGCCAGCCGCCGCGGUAAAAC